rnacentral:misc_RNA from 1 species
GAUGAAGAACGCAGCGAAAUGCGAUAAGUAAUGUGAAUUGCAGAAUUCAGUGAAUCAUCGAAUCUUUGAACGCACAUUGCGCCCGCUAGUAUUCUGGCGGGCAUGCCUGUCCGAGCGUCAUUUCAACCAUCAAGCCCCGGGCUUGUGUUGGGGUCCUGCGGCCGUCCGCAGCCCCCGAAAAGCAGUGGCGGGCUCGCUAUCACACCGAGUGCAGUAGUUUACUCUUCGCUCAGGACGUGUAGCGGGUUCCGGCCGUGAAACCCCCCAAUUUUCAAGGUUGACCUCGGAUCAGGUAGGAAUACCCGCUGAACUUAAGCAUAUCAAUAAGCGGAGGA